rnacentral:rRNA from 1 species
UACGGAGGGUGCGAGCGUUAUCCGGAUUUACUGGGUUUAAAGGGUGUGUAGGCGGGCUGGUAAGUCAGGGGUGAAAUCCCGGAGCUCAACUCCGGAACUGCCUUUGAUACUGGCAAUCUUGAGACUGGAAGAGGUUAGUGGAAUUCCCAGUGUAGAGGUGAAAUUCGUAGAUAUUGGGAAGAACACCAGUGGCGAAGGCGGCUAACUGGUCCAGUACUGACGCUGAGGUGCGAAAGCGUGGGGAGCAAACAGG